rnacentral:rRNA from 1 species
CUAGCCGUAAACGAUGGAUACUAGGCGUUGAGAGGAUCGACCCUCGCAGUGCCGUAGCUAACGCGUUAAGUAUCCCGCCUGGGGAGUACGCGCGCAAGCGUGAAACUCAAAGGAAUUGACGGGGGCCCGCACAAGCGGUGGAGUAUGUGGUUUAAUUCGAUGCAACGCGAAGAACCUUACCAGGGCUUGACAUGUCCGGAACCCUGCCCAAAGGUGGGGGUGCCCACGGGAGCCGGAACACAGGUGGUGC